GUGCCUGUGGGAUGAACAUGUUCCAACAUUUACUCCAAUUUUUUCACUUUGUUAGCUAGUAGCCAUACAUGUUUAGCUGAUCAUUAAGAAUGGGAAAUGU
rnacentral:snoRNA from 2 species